ensembl:lncRNA
AUAAUAGAAUAGCUGAACUAGAACAUAAGAUAUGUGAAUAAGAAUGACAAGAAAUUAGUGUGCAAAUGUAUAUUAAAGUCAAAUUAUGGAGUGCUUUGUACAUCAGUUUUAAGAGUAUGUGUUUUGUCCUAGAGUCAGUAGAGAGCCAUAAAUGGUUUUGGAGAAUGCUUUUGAGAGAGAAGUGACAUAAUUUGUCCUGAACAUUAGAAGAUUAUUUUGGCAGCAGAUGAAUUGGAGAAAAGAGAGACUAAAAGCUGAGACCAAUAAGGAAGUUAUUGUAGUGGAUACAUGAGAGAGUCAUCCAAGUCCAGUGAUAAGACACCAGAACAACUGGGGAUCACCCAGUAUGGAGUAGAUGAUCAUGCUGUCUUCAAUAUCUUCCCAGCCUCUAGGUGUUGCUGCUUCAGUCACUUUUGUGACUGUUGGAACAAAUUGUUCUCAUCCACCAAUUCCACUGGGGGAAGUCUACAUAUACUUGGGGUAUGUGACAUUCCACUAAGUCACUAAUAGGUUCAAGACCUGUAAGUUACCCUCAAUCUGGUUUAGCCAGUCUGUAAAGAUGAUUUUACCAGCAUAUGACUGCUAUGCAUACUAUCAUUUCUUGGGGCCAUAAGUGAGAGUUGGGAGUUGGGUAGUUGUGAAAGGUAGAUAAACAGCCCUGGAAAAAGGCUCAGCAAGUCCUCACACCAAAGGUGCUAAUCCUCACUUCACACCCCAUAUACCCCAAAGUGAGAAAGGAGAGACUAGAAUCCGAGAAACCAAUUAGGAGGCAUUUGUAGUCACUAACUGACCAAUAAGGGCUCAGCAAAGACCAGAGGCUUAGGUAGGAAUGUUAAGAAGCAGUUAAUAACUUGACCCAUGGUUUGUAGGAGCUGAAUAGAGAAAGAAAAGUUAACCAUGAGUCCAAUAUUAUCAAUAUAGGUAACUGGGGAAAUUAUUCUGUGUUCAAAAGAAAUAGAAAAGUUUAGGAGGAAGUGGGUUUCAGGAGAGAAACUAAGCAUUCCAUUUUAGAAAAGUUGCAUUAUUUUAUUUCAUGGAAGUAUCCAGGUGAAAAUGUUAAGGAAACCAGCUGUGAUGUAGAUUUUGUGAUGAGGAGAGAAAGCAGAGUUAGAUAUAUAAAUUUGGCAGUUAGUUGUGAAGAGAUGAUAAUUAAAUCCAUGGGAGUUAAAGAGAUCAAUAAGGGAGAGAGGAUAGAAAAAGAAGGAUACAACUUUAGGGAAGCCCAAGUUUUAGGAACAGUACAUGUGAGCAAAGAAGAUUGAUAAUGAAAGAUCAUAUAGGCAAGAGGAUCAUCAUGAACAAAGAAUUUUAGUUGAAAGAGACCUCAGUUUUCUUUCAAAAAGAAAAGGAAAAAAAUAGUAGUAGUUAGCUCUAACUUUAAAAUAGUAGUUGUAAAUCUGUAGCUAGUAGGACUUUUUUGUUUAUAGCAAGACAAAAUUUCUUUCUUUGCUACUUCUAUCCAUUAUCCCCAGUCCUGUCUUCUCAAGACAAGCAUCUAAUCCCUUUCUGCAUGACAGCUCUUUAAAGGCUUGAAGACCAGUUAGUAACUAUUUAUCAUGUAGCUACUAGGUGCCAAGCAUCAAACUGAGUCCUGGGAAUACAAAAGAAAGCAAAAAAGAUAACACAGGAAACCUGGUAUAUAUGUUUUAGGCAUCUUUAUUAUUAAGAUUAUUUUCCUGAACUCUUUUCUUCUCUGGACUAAAUAUCAGUUCUGUCAACUAGGCCUUAUGCAAUAUAACCUCUACUAACUCCACUAUUUUAUUUGGGAUGCUCUGAAUAUUUUCCAGAUUAUUCAGAUUAUUCUUAAAAAUGUAGCAUCUACCACAGAGCACAAUUCUUCAGAUAUUCUUCUUGACCAGAUGAUUCAUAUUGGUCCAGUGGCUCAGUCUUGGGAUUAGAACAAAAUGAGACACUCCCAAACCAUAAAUCAUUUAACAACAGAUGUUUUCUUAACGAGAGUAUAGAAAAGAAAUAUGGCGGCACUGAUUCAUUUCGGCUCAAUUCCCUUUUCCUCAACAUUUGCUAUGGUUGUGUGCCUGCUUAAAAGAUGGGAUAACUUGAAAAUAUGGUUUCCCUUUUAACUGUUUAGAACUCAACUGUCAUAUCAUUAAUGGAGUUCACUACUGAAGAACCACAGCCUACUUGGGCCUCAUUUGCCAUGUACUCCAUACCUGUCAAAGAUUUUCUUGUUGAAGUAUCCCUUAUAAUCCCUUUAAUUAACUUCUCAGUGACCUCCUUGAGUAUCACACAUUCAUUUACCGUAUCAACAUGUCAGCUGUGAUGAAGUGUUUAUGCUGAUUGGAGCCGGAGGCUGAGCAAGCAGCACAUAGCAAAAUCUCGGAGAUGGAAUGGGAACAGGAGCUAAGCCCCAAGCUAGUGCUUAUUCCAGAGUUAUAGAUGAAUAGACAUCAAAAGAAAGCCAAGAAAGCUUUGCCUAUACCUUUGGCUAAUGGAGCCAAGUGGGCUAUACUGGGGGAGAGAAAGGUAGAAUCCUCCUGAUAUGUAGGAGAGAACACUGGAUCCUUCUGUGGCCUCUGAUAAAUCAGCAGUCUUUUACCCAGAAUUCCAGGUGGACAGGUGGAUAUCCUUGCAAAAUUACAGCUUACAGCAGUAUUUCUGAUCUUGAAAAUGAAUUUCCAACUCAUUUCACUGUAUUUUACUUAAUUCUAAGCAUUUUCCCUACAAACAUAAGUAAGCAUUGUGGUGAGACACUUGGUAAUAUAACUAAUUUGGACUUAAAAUAUUUUAAAACAUUAAACUUUCAAUAUACCCUUGAAAAACAGACCUUAUUCAGGAAAAUAUUAAACCCAGUAUUAAAUUAGUAGUAAUAAUCAGAGAGAAACUUGCUUCAGUUAAUGCUAUUACAAAAUGUGUGCGUGAAACACUGCAUAAUAAAAGGUAUUUGAGCCAAAAAUAAAAUAGCUUU